rnacentral:rRNA from 1 species
CCUACGGGUGGCAGCAGUGGGGAAUAUUGCACAAUGGGGGAAACCCUGAUCCAGCGACGCCGCGUGGGUGACGAAGUAUUUCGGUAUGUAAAGCCCUAUCAGCAGGGAAGAAGAUGACAGUACCUGACUAAGAAGCCCCGGCUAACUACGUGCCAGCAGCCGCGGUAAUACGUAGGGGGCAAGCGUUAUCCGGAUUUACUGGGUGUAAAGGGAGCGUAGUUGGCAGGGCAGGCCAGAAGGGAAAACCCGGGGCUUAACCCCGCGCACUGCUUUGGCAACUGUCAGGCUGGAGUGCAGGAGGGGUAGGCGGAAUGCCUGGUGUAGCGGUGAAAUGCGUAGAUAUCAGGAGGAACACCGGUGGCGAAGGCGGCCUGCUGGACUGUAACUGACGCUGAGGCUCGAAAGCGUGGGGAGCAAACAGGAUUAGAUACCCUUGUAGUC